GAUCCUGGCUCAGGAUGAACGCUAGCUACAGGCUUAACACAUGCAAGUCGAGGGGCAGCAUUUCAGUUUGCUUGCAAACUGGAGAUGGCGACCGGCGCACGGGUGAGUAACACGUAUCCAACCUGCCGAUAACUCGGGGAUAGCCUUUCGAAAGAAAGAUUAAUACCCGAUGGUAUAAUCAGACCGCAUGGUCUUGUCAUUAAAGAUUUAUCGGUGUACGAUGGGGAUGCGUUCCA
rnacentral:rRNA from 1 species